rnacentral:rRNA from 1 species
GACGAACGCUGGCGGCGUGCUUAACACAUGCAAGUCGAACGGAAAGGCCCUGCUUUUGUGGGGUGCUCGAGUGGCGAACGGGUGAGUAACGCGUGAGUAACCUGCCCUUGACUUUGGGAUAACUUCAGGAAACUGGGGCUAAUACCGGAUAGGAGCUCCUGCUGCAUGGUGGGGGUUGGAAAGUUUCGGCGGUUGGGGAUGGACUCGCGGCUUAUCAGCUUGUUGGUGGGGUAGUGGCUUACCAAGGCUUUGACGGGUAGCCGGCCUGAGAGGGUGACCGGCCACAUUGGGACUGAGAUACGGCCCAGACUCCUACGGGAGGCAGCAGUGGGGAAUAUUGCACAAUGGGCGGAAGCCUGAUGCAGCAACGCCGCGUGCGGGAUGACGGCCUUCGGGUUGUAAACCGCUUUCGCCUGUGACGAAGCGUGAGUGACGGUAAUGGGUAAAGAAGCACCGGCUAACUACGUGCCAGCAGCCGCGGUGAUACGUAGGGUGCGAGCGUUGUCCGGAUUUAUUGGGCGUAAAGGGCUCGUAGGUGGUUGAUCGCGUCGGAAGUGUAAUCUUGGGGCUUAACCCUGAGCGUGCUUUCGAUACGGGUUGACUUGAGGAAGGUAGGGGAGAAUGGAAUUCCUGGUGGAGCGGUGGAAUGCGCAGAUAUCAGGAGGAACACCAGUGGCGAAGGCGGUUCUCUGGGCCUUUCCUGACGCUGAGGAGCGAAAGCGUGGGGAGCGAACAGGCUUAGAUACCCUGGUAGUCCACGCUGUAAACGGUGGGUACUAGGUGUGGGGUCCAUUCCACGGGUUCCGUGCCGUAGCUAACGCUUUAAGUACCCCGCCUGGGGAGUACGGCCGCAAGGCUAAGACUCAAAGGAAUUGACGGGGCCCCGCACAAGCGGCGGAGCAUGCGGAUUAAUUCGAUGCAACGCGUAGAACCUUACCUGGGUUUGACAUGGAUCGGGAGUGCUCAGAGAUGGGUGUGCCUCUUUUGGGGUCGGUUCACAGGUGGUGCAUGGCUGUCGUCAGCUCGUGUCGUGAGAUGUUGGGUUAAGUCCCGCAACGAGCGCAACCCUUGUUCACUGUUGCCAGCACGUUAUGGUGGGGACUCAGUGGAGACCGCCGGGGUCAACUCGGAGGAAGGUGGGGAUGACGUCAAGUCAUCAUGCCCCUUAUGUCCAGGGCUUCACGCAUGCUACAAUGGCUGGUACAGAGAGUGGCGAGCCUGUGAGGGUGAGCGAAUCUCGGAAAGCCGGUCUCAGUUCGGAUUGGGGUCUGCAACUCGACCUCAUGAAGUCGGAGUCGCUAGUAAUCGCAGAUCAGCAACGCUGCGGUGAAUACGUUCCCGGG